CCUCUUGUAUGUUAUCUUAUUUUCCAUUGAGAUGUUCAGGUUGCGGAGCAGGACUGUUCAAUAUUUACCAUUUAAUUUAGCUAAAUGUGUUUUUGUUUUUAUUGCAGUAAGCUUUGGUUUCUUCUGUAGAAUUUUGUCUGUUAUUGGUCCCCUCUCCAGUAGUGAAAGCUAAAAGACUUGUGUUGUAACAGGCCUCAGCCCAAGCAAGGCGUGUGCUGGAAGUGUCAGAAUGAUGUGGUCUCUUGUCACCUACUUUCUCUCCUGUAUGUACUAUAAUCAUUGCAGUUUUUGUGCAAACUGACUAUCAGAGUAUGCAACAGGGAUCUGCAUCCUUUGAUUUUUGUGCAAUUGAUUUCUCGUUGAAAUGAUAUGAACGGUCAGGAAGUAGAAAACAAAAUGUCAACUGUACAAAGGAUAAAAGAUAUUUGGUAGUAAUAAAC